AAACCAUGUCUGAGUGGCAUCUCCUGAUCAUCUACUUGUAUCUCUCACAUGCCUCAUAGAGGGACUCUCCCUUUUUUUGUUUGAAGGUCUGGACAUCCAUUCUAAGUUU